CCUACGGGAGGCAGCAGUGGGGAAUAUUGGACAAUGGGGGCAACCCUGAUCCAGCAAUGCCGCGUGAGUGAUGAAGGCCUUAGGGCUGUAAAGCUCUUUUACCAGGGAUGAUAAUGACAGUACCUGGAGAAUAAGCUCCGGCUAACUCCGUGCCAGCAGCCGCGGUAAUACGGAGGGAGCUAGCGUUGUUCGGAAUUACUGGGCGUAAAGCGCACGUAGGCGGUUACUCAAGUCAGAGGUGAAAGCCCGGGGCUCAACCCCGGAACUGCCUUUGAAACUAGGUAACUAGAAUCCUGGAGAGGUGAGUGGAAUUCCGAGUGUAGAGGUGAAAUUCGUAGAUAUUCGGAAGAACACCAGUGGCGAAGGCGGCUCACUGGACAGGUAUUGACGCUGAGGUGCGAAAGCGUGGGGAGCAAACAGGAUUAGAUACCCCGGUAGUCCACGCCGUAAACGAUGAUAACUAGCUGUCCGGGCACAUGGUGUUUGGGUUGGCGCAGCUAACGCAUUAAGUUAUCCGCCUGGGGAGUACGGUCGCAAGAUUAAAACUCAAAGAUAUCGCGNGNGAGAGCGACGACGACGACGACGGAGGAG
rnacentral:rRNA from 1 species